ensembl:misc_RNA Metazoa_SRP Metazoan signal recognition particle RNA
GCCGGGCGCAGUGGUGUGUGGCUAUAGUCCCAGCUAUAAUAUUUGGGAGGCUGACGUAGGAGGAUUGUUUGAGACCAGGAAUUCUGGGCUGUAGUGCUCUAUGCUGAUUGAGUGUCCACACUAAGUUUGGUAUCAAUGUGAUGAGCGAAGGACCACCAGAUUGCCUAAGAAGGGGUGAACUGGUCCAGGUUGAACAUGGAACAGGUCAAAAUUCCUGUGCUGAUUAGUAGUGGGAUCGCACUUGUGAAUAUCCACUGCACUACAGCCUGGACAACAUAGCCAGACUCUGUCUCU